AGGAACUGUUAACAAUUUUUUUUUACUAAUCUGUGUAAUUUUGAAUCACUUGAGUUAGUAGUAACUUAUAAUCUGUUAGAGCUGCCAUGCAACCAUUGUUGGCCAAACUCCAUCAAUGUCUAAAAAUAAAUUUCAGUUCUAUACUAGGCCAAGCUAAUUGGCUUGACAAAGCUUUUGAACCAAUCAGAUGCCAGGAAGUAUAAAAUACUAAUUGGUGUCAUCUGUGAAGCAGGACAAAUACUAAAACAACAGGUUUAGAAGAAGGUCAAGAUAAUUAAAAGGGGUGCCUGAAAUACAGUAUAAAAUGGAAUAGCCAGCUUGUUCAUGUGUACUUAGGAUUCUCAGAGUCAAUAAUAAGGCAAUUAAAACAAGUUGGUGGUUUUGUGGUGCUUUUUGUUGCUCUUGGAUUGGCUGAAACAAAAUGGCCAAGCCUGUGGAAACUUCAAGCUAUUUCAGGAGCACCACCAGUGCAGCUUGAAAGGCCCUUUGAUCCAAUUUCUACUUUGAGUGUAACUGCAGAGUGCAAUGAUACUGUGGUGUAUGUGGCGGCGAAGGAAAAAUCUGUCUGGUAAUGGUAAACCCAUCAAUAUUGCAGCUCUCACCUUGGGAGGCUGUGCUGCUAAAGGGGAAAAUGCUGCUUCUCAAGUCCUUAUCUAUGAAUCUGAACUAGAUGGCUGCAACAGCAAGUUGGCUGUGAAUGAGGAUGAACUGGUUUAUGUCUCUGCCCUUGGAAUUGCUUCAGAGCCUUUAAGUGGUAUUCCCAUUUCAAUUGAGUGUCACUACCCAAGAUUCCGUGAUGCUCCCAGCAGUACUCUGAUGCCUGCUUGGAUAUCACGUGAUUCUACCCAAGCUGCUAAGGAACCUUUUGUUUUCUCUUUGAGACUCAUGAUGGGUUUAUAUCAUGGUUAAAUAGUAGCUUGCUUGUCUGAGGAUGAGUUACAAAUGAAGUUUCUUCUUGUAGAUGACUGGAUAUCUGAAAGGCCAUUCAACCAGUACUACCUGGGGGAGCUUAUAAAUAUUGAGGCAUCAGUACUGCCGUUCAAGAAUGUACCCCUAUGUGUCCCUGUAGACAGCUGUGUGGCCACUGCUGUCCCUGACAUAAAUACAGUCCCCAGAUAUUCCUUCAUCGAGAACUAUGGGUGAGUGAGGCUCUUUGUGCACUCAUAAGCUGACCAGCAAAACUGCAAGUCCUUCUAGGUGCCUGGUUGAUUCCAAGACUACAGUGUCCAGUUCCCACUUCAUGCCCAAAACUGGUGCAGCUAAGCAGGGGAGGCAUUCAGAUUUCAGCAAGGGAAUGAAUCAAACACUUCGAAAGUUUGAACAUCGGCAAAGUUCAACAGAAUUUCCAGAGUCUAUCCUUCAUUACUUCCAGACACCAUGGAUUUCUCGGCAGACAGCUUGGUGAUUAUUUCUGAUGAGAUUCCCGAAAACAACCACUCAUGACCUUUUGAAUCUGAGCUCCACACAAUUAGAGGGAAAUGUGACUAACAGUGAUUACGACAGAGAUAUUUCAGAUACGAGUGAUGCAAUAGAAGACCAAGAGGAAAUCAUCUUGGAAACCGACAUUCAACAAGACCUCGAACUACAACGGAUCUGCGCAGUGUGGCGUGAAUUCUUCGAAGCAAAGACUGAUUUAUUGGAAAAGUUUGGACAGAUUGAUUAUACACUUGAAUCUGGUCAAGGUACAGUUUUUAUCCCUUUACUGUACAGCAUGCUUGAAAAUGUGAAUAGAUGUCUCUCAGUGAGCAUAAAGUUGAUUAGGAAAUUGUAUGAUGGAUAUGGCGCAGAAACGACUGAAAUGCAGUUCAGAUAUGGAGACUAAAAAAAGAGAACUGAAAAUUCUCCAUUAUCACAUGAUUUCUUUUAUGACGGAAACCAGAGUUUUUCAAAUGAUUCCUACACCCCUGAACCCAUGUUAACUGAAGCGAUCAACCGGCUGAACGAAAGUUUAAUUCCGUCACACCAAGUCGUUAGUGAGAGACCUAAUCAGAGUCCAAAUUACGUCGUAUCAAACACAACAGUGACGCUGAAUGAUAUAUUUUCUGAAUUAAAUCGAUGUCUAGAGUUACAUAAUAACCUAAAUGAACACGGUCAUUCAGUACAAAUAAACCCUGAUCUAAUCGAUGCAGUCAAUCAGUUGAAUGAAUUUAAGAUUGUCAGAACAGGGCAAUACUCAAAAUGAAAACCCCAGUCGAAAUUCCAGUCAAACUGUAUCAAGUACACCAGUGACGUCGCACGACAUAUUUUUCUAAUUAAAUCAUGUAUGUUAGAGCUACAAAAUAACCUAAUCGAACAAAGAGAAUCUAUGCAGAUAAAUCCAUGUUUAAUAGACGUGGUGAAUCAAAUCAAUGAAAAUGUCAUUAUCUCCAGUUCAGAAUAUCGUCUCGACUCCAGAAAACGCUCAGGAACCUAGACCGUUAUCUUCUCAUGAUAUACGAACUUAAUCAAAGUCUUAUGAGGAUAAAUGACGGUCUCGUUAACUUAAUCGAAAACCCUGACUAUAUUGCACAAAAUUCAGAAAACGAAAAUGAACACGACCAUCCAAUGGAAAACAUACACUCACCUAAUACCCAAGAUUCUCAAAUGGAAAACACGCAUUCGCCCGAUACCCAAGAUUCUCAAAGGGAAAACUCGCCCGAUAUCCAAGUAGAGCAAGAGGGUGAUGGAUUAGAUCCUAAAUAUUAGAAUAAUUAAUUGGGAAAGAUUCAACAACACUGAGAUUAGGAGAAGAGUGAAUUUUUCUUCUAUUGUGAAUGUUGACAGCUUUGCAGAUUUUUAUGUUUUAGAGAUUUUAAACAGUGUGAUUGAAAUCGCUAACAAUUUAAUUUCUGCCAAGGAUGUAGUCACCGUUGAAAUUAGAGGUGAUACGACCAAUGUUUCAUCACGCGUUCAAUUAGACAAUGGUGUCAUCGAUGUAGGUUCUUUUCUGACCAUGCUCGAAAAUGCAAUUCAGAGUAAACGUGAAAUUUUUACCGAUAAUACCCUUGAAAUAGUCGUCCAAAUCGUCCGACCACCUCGGGGUGGUGGAAAUGGAAGGAAAAUGGGCCAUAUAUUCAAAUCAGAAACCCUGCAGAAGAAAAUGCAUCAUCUAUACAUUUUUCACAACAGAGACAUGUGCUUCGCCUUGUGUGUUAGCCAACUUUUGAAUCGUGGGGGGGGAAAAAAAAAAAAAAAAGAUUUUGAAACCAAACAAAUCGCUAGAAAAUUACAAGACGAUGUGGGAUUAUCCGUAAACACCGCGGUCAGCUUCGCUGACGUACCGAGAUUUGAGAGACAUUUGAAUUGUAAAAUCGUAAUCGUACACUGUUCUGCUAGCAAAGCUGGAUACUCUUUUUCAAACUAGCAAGACUCCCCCACGAAAAAACCAUUUACUUGUUUUUAUGACAACCACUAUUAUGGGGUUAAAAGUAUCACCGGACUUUUAGGAACGAGUCAUGUUUGUUAUUUCUGCCAUUCCGGGUUUGACGUUUUAUGGAAACAUAAAUGCGCUUAUAGCUGCAAUGUUUGCCACGACCCCGAUUGUUAAACACCCUAAGAAUGUUACUAAAUGUCCAGAGUGUCAGAGACUGUGUAACUCACAUUACUGUUUCGAGAGGCAUAAAGCAAAGAUUCGCCUUUGCGGUAUUGAAUAUUCUGUGUGAAACAGGAUUCUACUGCGGUAAAUGUAAACGUGUGAUAAGGGAUAAUCCUUCUAAUCGUGAGAAUCACGUAUGUGCCCAUUUGAAAUGCAUACUCUGUGGCCAAAAACUCGAUGAGGAUAUCAAGCAUAGAUGUUUUAUACAGAGGGCCAGGAAAGAAAGUGAAAAUACGGGUUAUGUGUUUUACGAUUUCGAGACUAGGCAGGAAACAGGAACACAUGUAGCUAAUUUCAUAUGCUGUAUUGAUUUUAAGGGAGAGGAGUGGGUGGCUGAAGGGGAUGAUUGCGUCAGUGCCUUCUUUAAAAAGUUUCGGUGUAAUGCAUACCACGGAUACAAGUUUAUAGCCCAUAAUGCUAGAGGGUUCGAUUCAUACCUUUUUGUUAAACCAUUUAGUGAAGGAAGGAAUCACACCCGAAAUCAUAGCGCAAGGUGGUAAUUUUGUGCUUCAUCGAUAACGCGUUUCGUCAGUCCUACAUUGAUAGUCUAUCGUUCUUACCCAUGAAAUUGAGUAGCAUCCCAAAAGCCAUGGGUUUUUCGGAAAGCAAGAAAGGCUAUUUUUCCCCUUUUCUGGAACACCGUAGAACAUCAGGAUCACGUAGGGCCGUAUCCUGACCCUAAGUUUUACCUUGUAGAUGGCAUGAUGCCUAAGGAUAGAGAAGAAUUCUUUAAGUGGUACAGAACGGUUUGUGACAAAGUCUUUGAUGUCAAGAAAGAGAUGGCGGAAUACUGCGUGAACGAUGUAGAAAUUUUGAGAAAGGGAUGUAUAGCUUUCAGACAAGAAAUUCUGGAUAGUACAAAGGUCGAUCCUUUUAAAUGCAUAACGAUCGCAUCUGUGUGCAUAAAUCUUUAGAACCAACUUCCUGUGUAAAGACACUUUAGCUAUUCCACCGUUUGAUAAUUACAUCACCACUCAGAAAUCUUUCUCAACACCAUCCAUACAAUGGCUCAAUAGGUUUCAAAAACGCAAAACCUACCCAUUCGCCACGUGUUGAACGAAGGUGAAGUCAGGUUCGGUACCUAUUACGUAGAUGGUUACUGUGAGGAAGGGGAAAACCGUAAGGUUUUUGAGUUUCUUGGGUGUUUUUAUCACUGCUGUGAAGUGUUUUCCCUCAAUGACCCCGCAUCCUCUUACCAAAUCAAACGCAACCUUCGGAGAUUUCCGUCAAAAAUUGAUGGAGAGAAUUAAGAAUUUGCAACUCACUCUGUGGGAACACGAGUGGAAUGAAAUGAAGAAAAACAACAAUCUCGUGCAAAAUUUUCUAAAAGACUUUGACUUUCCUGAGCGUUUAAACCCUCGAGAUGCUCUUUACGGCGGUCGAACAAACGCGUUAAACUUGCAUUAUGUAGCUCAACUUGGUGAGAGAAUCGAUUAAUUCAACUUUACCUUGCUUUACCCAUUCGUAAAUAAGACCGACAUACCCGAUCGAUCACCCUAUCAUCAUUUAUCGUGACUUUCAACCUCUGAAAUAUUACUUUGGUAUCAUUAGAGCAAAGGUAUUACCACCUAGGGGUCUGUGGGCACCUGUUCUACCUUUUCGUGUAAAAAGCAAACUCCAUUCCUCUAUGUAGAACGUGUGCCGAACAUCAGUUAAAACAUUGCGAUCAUACGGCUCAGGAGAGAGCUCUUACCGGAACAUGGGCAUCUAUCGAAAUUGAGAAAGCCGUCGAAAAAGGUUACAAAAUUCUAAGUGUUUGAAGUGUGGCACUUUCCUAAAAGGUCUGAUAAGCUUUUUACAAGAUGUAUUAAAAUGUUCCUCAAGACCAAACAGGAAAGUUCAGGUUAUCCGUCCUGGGUCGUUGAUGAAUCAUCUAAACGUGAGUACAUUCGCAAAUAUAAGGAGAAUGAAGGGAUAAUUUAUCACUGUUAAUCCUGCCAAAAGAUCCACGGCUAAACUCGCACUAAAUUCGUUGUGGGGUAAGAUGUCAAAGACCAGACAGAUCAAACACGACCUUAAUUCGCGAUCCUGCCGAGUUUUUACAGUUCAUGUUCUCCGAUAUUUAUAAUGUGAGUCAGUUGUCUUUUUUGAAUGAGGAGGUGGCGAUGGUACAGUGGCGUUACGCAGACGAGAGAUUGAUUAAACCGCUAAACGCUAAUGUAUUCAUCGGCAUUUUCACUACAGCGUACGCUAGGCUUGAGCUGUACAAUUUGAUGGAUCGAUUGGAUCAGCGUUGUUUGUACACUGACACCAAUAGCGUCAGUUUUAAAAGUAAGGAAGGUGACUGGAUGCCGCCCUUAAGCGAUUACUUUGGUGGUCUUACCAGCGAACUAGAUGAUGGCGAUCAAAUCGUGGAAUUUGUAAGCGCCGGUCCUAAAACCUACUGUUAGAAAACCAUGAAAGGAAAAACAACCAUGAAAGCUAAAGGCAUUACUUUAAAUUGUAUCAAUUCUGAAAUUGUCAAUUUGAAGUCACUAACAGAACUGGUGGACGAGCGAGUGAAAAAUCCGAAUCAUACAGGUCAUCUCGUAACCAUGCAUAACCAAAUCGUGAGGGAUAAAAAGGGGUUUCAUUUGAGAAACAAAUCACAGUUGAAAAGGUUCAGGGUUGUGUACGAUAAGCGUGUUUUAUCUGAUUUUAGAACUCUCCCUUACGGAUAUUAAGACUAUUCUUGUAUAUAUGUGUAUAUAGUUUCUGUUGUGACUGCUUUUGACGCUAGAAUGCAACUUCCCUUUUCAUGUAUUGUAUGUGGACCGAGUAAUCCACAUAAAGUGAAGUGGAAAAUCUUCUAUCAAAAUGUUGUUGGAAAACUGUAAAGAGGCAAUGUCGGUUGUUCUGGAAAACAAUGUCUGGUGUUAUACGUGUUGGCAGCCUCUGUACGAUGAAUUAUUGACCAGAAUAAAAAUAAAUUUUCAAGGAAUCCCUGAUUCUUUGUGUGAUGACGAACUAUUUCCCCCAAAUAAAAAAACUUGUUGGUAAUCGAUGACUUGAUGGAAUCCGCCAGUAAAAAUGACGAAGUAGAAAAGGCUUUUACAAAAUACACACACCACAGAAAUCUGAGCGUCAUCUACCUCGUUCAAAACUUGUUUUUUCAAGGAAAGACCA